rnacentral:rRNA from 1 species
CGCGGCCUAUCAGCUUGUUGGUGAGGUAAUGGCUUACCAAGGCGACGACGGGUAGCCGGCCUGAGAGGGCGAUCGGCCACACUGGGACUGAGACACGGCCCAGACUCCUACGGGAGGCAGCAGUGGGGAAUAUUGCACAAUGGGCGAAAGCCUGGUGCAGCGACGCCGCGUGAGGGAUGAAGGCCUUCGGGUUGUAAACCUCUUUCAGCAGGGAAGAAGCAGCCGGGUUUUCUUGGUUGUGACGGUACCUGCAGAAGAAGCACCGGCUAACUACGUGCCAGCAGCCGCGGUAAUACGUAGGGCGCAAGCGUUGUCCGGAAUUAUUGGGCGUAAAGAGCUUGUAGGUGGUUUGUCGCGUCUGUUGUGAAAUUUCGGGGCUCAACCCCGAACUUGCAGUGGAUACGGGCAGACUAGAGUGUGGUAGGGGAGACUGGAAUUCCUGAUGUAGCGGUGAAAUGCGCGGAUAUCAGGAGGAACACCGAUGGCGAAGGCAGGUCUCUGGGCCAUUACUGACACUGAGAAGCGAAAGCAUGGGGAGCGAACAGGAUUAGAUACCCUGGUAGUCCAUGCCGUAAACGGUGGGAACUAGGUGUGGGUCUCAUUCCACGAGAUCCGUGCCGCAGCUAACGCAUUAAGUUCCCCGCCUGGGGAGUACGG